CGUACACUAAAAUGCACAGGUCGUGAGUUCGAUGAGUAGGGCGGGACACGUGACAUCCUGUCUGAAUAUGGGGGGACCAUCCUCCAAGGCUAAAUACUCCUGACUGACCGAUAGUGAACCAGUACCGUGAGGGAAAGGCGAAAAGAACCCCGGCGAGGGGAGUGAAAUAGAACCUGAAACCGUGUACGUACAAGCAGUGGGAGCACCUUCGUGGUGUGACUGCGUACCUUUUGUAUAAUGGGUCAGCGACUUAUAUUUUGUAGCAAGGUUAACCGUAUAGGGGAGCCGUAGGGAAACCGAGUCUUAACUGGGCGAAUAGUUGCAAGGUAUAGACCCGAAACCCGGUGAUCUAGCCAUGGGCAGGUUGAAGGUUGGGUAACACUAACUGGAGGACCGAACCGACUAAUGUUGAAAAAUUAGCGGAUGACUUGUGGCUGGGGGUGAAAGGCCAAUCAAACCGGGAGAUAGCUGGUUCUCCCCGAAAGCUAUUUAGGUAGCGCCUCGUGAACUCAUCUUCGGGGGUAGAGCACUGUUUCGGCUAGGGGGCCAUCCCGGCUUACCAAACCGAUGCAAACUCCGAAUACCGAAGAAUGUUAUCACGGGAGACACACGGCGGGUGCUAACGUCCGUCGUGAAGAGGGAAACAACCCAGACCGCCAGCUAAGGUCCCAAAGUCAUGGUUAAGUGGGAAACGAUGUGGGAAGGCAUAGACAGCCAGGAUGUUGGCUUAGAAGCAGCCAUCAUUUAAAGAAAGCGUAAUAGCUCACUGGUCGAGUCGGCCUGCGCGGAAGAUGUAACGGGGCUAAACCAUGCACCGAAGCUGCGGCAGCGACGCUUAGGCGUUGUUGGGUAGGGGAGCGUUCUGUAAGCCGUUGAAGGUGGCCUGUGAGGGUUGCUGGAGGUAUCAGAAGUGCGAAUGCUGACAUAAGUAACGAUAAAGCGGGUGAAAAGCCCGCUCGCCGGAAGACCAAGGGUUCCUGUCCAACGUUAAUCGGGGCAGGGUGAGUCGACCCCUAAGGCGAGGCUGAAAAGCGUAGUCGAUGGGAAACAGGUUAAUAUUCCUGUACUUGGUGUUACUGCGAAGGGGGGACGGAGAAGGCUAGGCUAGCCGGGCGACGGUUGUCCCGGUUUAAGCGUGUAGGGGGUGUGACCUGGUAAAUCCGGUUGCAUAUCAACCCUGAGGCGUGAUGACGAUGCACUACGGUGCAGAAGUAGUUGAUGCCCUGCUUCCAGGAAAAGCCUCUAAGCUCUAGGUAACAUUAAAUCGUACCCCAAACCGACACAGGUGGUCAGGUAGAGAAUACCAAGGCGCUUGAGAGAACUCGGGUGAAGGAACUAGGCAAAAUGGUGCCGUAACUUCGGGAGAAGGCACGCUGGCAUGUAGGUGAAGUCCCUUGCGGAUGGAGCUGAAGCCAGUCGAAGAUACCAGCUGGCUGCAACUGUUUAAUAAAAACACAGCACUGUGCAAACACGAAAGUGGACGUAUACGGUGUGACGCCUGCCCGGUGCUGGAAGGUUAAUUGAUGGGGUCAGCCGCAAGGCGAAGCUCUUGAUCGAAGCCCCAGUAAACGGCGGCCGUAACUAUAACGGUCCUAAGGUAGCGAAAUUCCUUGUCGGGUAAGUUCCGACCUGCACGAAUGGCGUAAUGAUGGCCAGGCUGUCUCCACCCGAGACUCAGUGAAAUUGAACUCGCUGUGAAGAUGCAGUGUACCCGCGGCAAGACGGAAAGACCCCGUGAACCUUUACUAUAGCUUGACACUGAACAUUGAGCCUUGAUGUGUAGGAUAGGUGGGAGGCUUUGAAGCGUGGACGCCAGUCUGCGUGGAGCCAUCCUUGAAAUACCACCCUUUAAUGUUUGAUGUUCUAACUCGGCCCCAUAAUCUGGGGUGAGGACAGUGUCUGGUGGGUAGUUUGACUGGGGCGGUCUCCUCCCAAAGAGUAACGGAGGAGCACGAAGGUUAGCUAAUCACGGUCGGACAUCGUGAGGUUAGUGCAAAGGCAUAAGCUAGCUUGACUGCGAGAGUGACGGCUCGAGCAGGUACGAAAGUAGGUCUUAGUGAUCCGGUGGUUCUGAAUGGAAGGGCCAUCGCUCAACGGAUAAAAGGUACUCCGGGGAUAACAGGCUGAUACCGCCCAAGAGUUCAUAUCGACGGCGGUGUUUGGCACCUCGAUGUCGGCUCAUCACAUCCUGGGGCUGAAGUAGGUCCCAAGGGUAUGGCUGUUCGCCAUUUAAAGUGGUACGCGAGCUGGGUUUAGAACGUCGUGAGACAGUUCGGUCCCUAUCUGCCGUGGGCGUUGGAAGAUUGAGAGGGGUUGCUCCUAGUACGAGAGGACCGGAGUGAACGCACCACUGGUGUUCGGGUUGUCAUGCCAAUGGCAUUGCCCGGUAGCUAAGUGCGGAAAAGAUAAGCGCUGAAAGCAUCUAAGCGCGAAACUUGCCU
rnacentral:rRNA from 1 species